GUGUGUCUCAAGCAUGUUCUUGGAUGGCACUUCUGCACUUGACUGUGUGGUGUGAUCUCCAAGGUUGUUACUUUGAGGAAAUCAGAGUGCUUCCAGCAGGCAAAUGUUUUGAAUACAUUAGCAUGGAAUAAUAAGAUGAGACUUCGGUUUUAUUUUGUUGGUUUUUAAAAAUGAAGUAAUGAUUGACAGGGAUAGUUAGGGGCAUUUGUAUUCAACUGUCAGAGGUGAAAUUCUUGGAUUUGUUAAAGACAAACAACUGCGAAAGCAUUUGCCAAGGAUGUUUUUUUUGAUCAAGAACGAAAGUUAGGGGAUCGAAGACGAUCAGAUACCGUCCUAGUCUUAACUAUAAACUAUGCCAACCAGAGAUUGGAGGUUGUUAUGUGCACGACUCCUUCAGCACCUUAUGAGAAAUCAAAGUCUUUGGGUUCCGGGGGGAGUAUGGUCGCAAGGCUGAAACUUAAAGGAAUUGACGGAAGGGCACCACCAGGAGUGGAGCCUGCGGCUUAAUUUGACUCAACACGGGGAAACUUACCAGGUCCAGACAUAGUAAGGAUUGACAGAUUGAUA
rnacentral:rRNA from 1 species